GACUUAAAUCCGUCGACUUUAAAAUCGUGAGGGUUCAAGUCCCUCUAUCCCCAAACAACAGCCUAUUGACUCCCAAAAAAAUAUUAACCUAUCCGC
rnacentral:tRNA from 1 species